rnacentral:rRNA from 1 species
AGUGAACGCUGGCGGUAGACCUAACACAUGCAAGUCGAACGGCAGCACAGUAAGAGCUUGCUCUUACGGGUGGCGAGUGGCGGACGGGUGAGGAAUACAUCGGAAUCUACUUUUUCGUGGGGGAUAACGUAGGGAAACUUACGCUAAUACCGCAUACGACCUACGGGUGAAAGCAGGGGAUCUUCGGACCUUGCGCGAUUGAAUGAGCCGAUGUCGGAUUAGCUAGUUGGUGGGGUAAAGGCCCACCAAGGCGACGAUCCGUAGCUGGCCUGAGCGGAUGACCAGGAACAAGGGAACUGAGACACGGUACAGACCCCAACGGGAGGCAGCCGUGGGGAAUAUUGGACAAUGGGCGAAAGCCUGAUACAGCCAUGCCGCGUGGGUGAAGAAGGUCUUCGGAUUGUAAAGCACUUUAAGUUGGGAGGAAGGGAAGUAAGUUAAUACCUUGCUGUUUUGACGUUACCAAAAGAAUAAGCAACGGCUCACUUCGUG